AUUGAACGCUGGCGGCAUGCCUUACACAUGCAAGUCGAACGGCAGCACGGACUUCGGUCUGGUGGCGAGUGGCGAACGGGUGAGUAAUGUAUCGGAACGUACCUUUCAGUGGGGGAUAACGUAGCGAAAGUUACGCUAAUACCGCAUAUUCUGUGAGCGGGAAAGCAGGGGAUCGCAAGACCUUGCGCUGAUUGAGCGGCCGAUAUCAGAUUAGCUAGUUGGUGAGGUAAAGGCUCACCAAGGCGACGAUCUGUAGCGGGUCUGAGAGGAUGAUCCGCCACACUGGAACUGAGACACGGUCCAGACUCCUACGGGAGGCAGCAGUGGGGAAUUUUGGACAAUGGGCGCAAGCCUGAUCCAGCCAUGCCGCGUGAGUGAAGAAGGCCU
rnacentral:rRNA from 1 species